rnacentral:rRNA from 1 species
GAUUUCUGGUGUGAUGCGCCUGGCCCGCUGCGGUUUCGCAUGUGAGUGCUGGUUGUGCGUCUACCAUCCUUCUGCAUCUCCUCUCGGCUCUUCACUGAGAUCGAGGGGGGGAGCAGAUCGUUUACUUUGAAAAAAUUAGAGUGUUUCAAGCAGGCAUGCCGCUAUGAAUACAUUAGCAUGGAAUAAUAAUUUAGGACUUCGGUUCUAUUUUGUUGGUUUCUAGGACGGAAGUAAUGAUUGAUAGGGAUAGUUGGGGGUGCUAGUAUUCAGUGGCCAGAGGUGAAAUUCUCGGAUUCCCUGAAGACUAACUUAUGCGAAAGCAUU